rnacentral:rRNA from 1 species
CAGUAGCGUAUACUAAUGUUGCUGCAGUUAAAAAGCUCGUAGUUGGAUUUCUGGUUGAUAAUUUUGGUCCGGUUAGUUUAACUAACAUGAGUAUCAUGUAUUAUCUGCCAUCCUUUCAGGGUUCUAGGGUUUCGGCUCUAGGGUUCUGGAUCUUUUACUUUGAAAAAUUAGAGUGUUUAAAGCAAGCUUGCGCGAUGAAUACAUUAGCAUGGAAUAAUAAUAUAGGACUACGGGUUCUAUUUUGUUGGUUUCUAGACCUGAAGUAAUGAUUGAUAGGGAUAGUUGGGGGUGCUAGUAUUGAGAGGCCAGAGGUGAAAUUCUUGGAUUCUCUCAAGACUAACUUAUGCGAAAGCAUUCACCAAGGAUGUCUUCUUUAAUCAAGAACGAAAGUUGGGGGAUCGAAGACGAUCAGAUACCAU